AGAUUCUUUGCAGUUUGGCCAUGGCCAUAGGAAACACCAACAAGGAUCCGCCGGAGCUCGGAUUUUGGUAAAGCAGAGCAGAACCCCAUAGGCGAACAAAGACAAAAACAGCAGCGAAAACGCGCACAUCCGGACCGGAUAGGAGUGGGAGCUAAGAGAGACGUCAUAUAUCCCUCGUCUCCCGUAGGGUGGUUUCAUGAUUUGCGCACGGAACCAGUUAAAUCUGCGAAGAAAUGAGAAAAGCCCGACGAGCAGAUCCUACUCGGACGAAAUCUCGACCUGAGUAGUCGUUAAAUAUUCGUUUAUACUAUCAGAUCGUGCUUCUUCCAUCUUGAUCCUCUUAAAUUUUUCAACUUUUUCUUUUUUCGGGAUAGCAACAUCAGUGGCAAGAUGAUGAGGGUACUCUGUAUGAAAGCCCUUAAAGACAAUUUGCCAGCAAUGCACAUUCAUAAGUGGCAUACAAUGUGAUGACUUGGGGAUGACCAGAGGAGUCAGCAAUGUCAAUUUCACAAGUGGAAAGAAUGGAAUCUCUGAGCAAUGACAUUUUCUAUGACAUAUUGAGGCGUCUUGAUGGUGCAACAUUGGCCAGUGCAGCAUGUGCUUGUGCUGCUUUCCAUUCCAUCUCAAAGGAAGAGAGUAUAUGGGAAAAUGUCUGCCAUUCUUUAUGGCCUUCAACCAAUAGAGAAGAUGUUAGGAGUUUGAUUUCAUCAAUUGGUGGAUUCCGAAAGUUUUAUGCAGGGUGUUUCCCACUUAUUGUGAACAAGGAUGUUCCUGUGGCUCAGUUGGACUCUUGUCAUGAAUAUCUUGAAGAAUGGUCUGAUGCUGAUUAUUAUGGUGACAUGGAUGUAUUUGAGAGUGUUUCACCCUCAGAUUUUGUCUCUAUUGUGGAUAUCAGAUAUAAGGAUAAAGCUAUUUAUUCAAAGGUCCUCUGGGGUAUUCCUGAUUCAGAUGGUACCAAUGGUUGGUUUUACAACUGCCCCUUUCGGAUUGACCUUCUUAGCUAUUCAGAUGGGAAUGAUGCCAAUGAAGAUGAAAUUAUCCUAUCAGUAUCUGAUGGUCUGCCGCCAGUUACAUCCAUAGAGAGGGAGAGGAAAGAUGGAAAGCUUUGGAGGGAGCUCCGAGAUGGAAUCAGGCUUAGUUGGAUUAUUGUAAACAAAAAGGCAAAACAAGCCGCUAAUUUUGCUAGCUGGAGCCCUCUUGGGGGGCAAAGGCAUUGGCCAACAGACAAUGAUUUCUUGCUACAUUUUGGAUCCAUUCUUCCUGCCAAGGAUAUCCUUCCAUGUCGAGUAGUAGAAUGCAUUCUUGUCAUGAAAUGUAAAGUGAUACAUAGUGGGGAAGGAGAGGAUAAUCAUACACUUCUCAAGCUAACAGAGCUAAGCAUGCAGCUGAAAGACAUGGGGGGUAGUCAUUUGAAUGGAAGAAAUAGUUUGCUUGUCCUUAAAGAAGCACUAAGCUGCCGUAGGAGCAAAAAUUAUACUGAAGUUCUAGAAUCACGCCAUUUGUACUCAAAAGCACAAAGUGAGUUGAAAGAGGAGAGGAUGAGAAAUGAAAGUUAUAUAGACAGAUUAUGUAUCUUAAGCGGCAUAGCUGCACUUCUCACAUUCUGGUACUGCAUUUUAUGAAAUAGACCAUACUGUUGUUCUGAUCAUUAUCUUGAUUGAUAUACUUUUCAUAUUUCCUCAAGGACUGAAAUUCGGCAAAAAAAAUGGCCUGGAGAAGUGGCAUAAUUUUAGUCAUAUCAACUGCUCUGAUGGAUAUCUGACCCAAGAGGCCACGAAGCAGCUAAAAAUGUUAUUGUUGUACUCAUAUUAUAGACUUCUAUUUUCACUUUGGCCAAUCAAGUUAAUUCAUUGACUGUAUCAAUAACAAAUCUGAGCAGUAUGUUUAAACUCUGAUGUGUACUGUUUUCAACCUUGUAUUAUAACUCAGUAAUUAGUUGGAAAGAACUGAGUGAAGAAUCUCUUGCAAAGCUUCCUUGAACAAAGAAUCCUCUCAAUCCAGCAAUGACUGAAUAUGCUUGGUUUUGUAGCCGAACUUGUACCUCCAGACUACCUUCAUCCCCUUUCUUUCUCUCUACUUGGAAAAGUUAAUCCGAAGGAAUCAGGUAUUCAGGUUAGACUCAGGGUUGAGCCCUUGGGCAAGCAGAUGCAAGUCCAAACCAAUGUGUUAUGCAUGUAAGCUGCCAGGAUGAAAAUUCCAAAGAGAGGGGCAUUGGGUUCACUUCUAGUUCCAGCCAUCCCAAAGAACCGAAAAGGAACAGCAAAAGAAAAGUCUGAGCAAUUUUUUAUUACACCAGUUCCACAGCUCACGUGUUCAAGACGAACAUGCCUGAGAUAAAGAUGGAAGAGAUUAAGGUGGAGGUUGAGGAUGGAAGGAUCGUCUAGAUCAACAAAUGUGAGGAGCUGUGAGAAUGAGACGAAGAACAAUGCUUGGGAAUGCAUCGGAUGGAGUAGUGGCAAGUUCCUAAGGAGGUUCUAGACUUCUUGUUAUCAGAGAAGGCGAAGGCUGAUCAAGUGAGAGAGGCGAUGGAAGAUGGAAUGUUGACUAUAAUCAUGCCAAAGGAUGAGGUGAAGAAACCCAAUAUGAAGUUGAUUAAGAUCUCUGGUUGAGUCCAUCAUCCACAAAAUAGAUAAUCCGACUAUUAUUUCCCUACUUUUCCCUUUUCUUAUGGUUUGUAAGGGUGGAAAAUGGUAGGAAAUGAGAAAAUUGCAAUCCCAUGAUCCCAUCCAUGACAAUGCAGCUUAUUGAUUAGAAAAAAUUGCAGGAAAUGAGAGAUUGGUUAAGUAGGUCUCAAAAGGAUUAUUAUCCAGACUAGAAUAAAAAAGCAGGGUUUGUUAGGGA